GCCAGGUGUGGUGGCUCACGCCUGUAAUCUCAGCAGCUUGGGAGGCUGAGGCAGAGUUCAACGCCAACCUCAGCAAUGGUGAGGUGCUAAGCAACUCAGUGAGACCCUGUCUCUA
rnacentral:sRNA from 1 species